GCGCGGCUCUUCAUAGCUCACAUGACGGCUUUCUCUCUCGCCUUACCACAUAGCGUUCAAUCUCGCCGUGGAUGCAUCAUUGAAGUGGAGAACCGAAACCGGCAGAGUAGAUUCUUAAACAUCGCGGUACAGUAAUCAGUAAUGAAGACUUCCCUGAUGAAAUAUCAAACACUGCCGUAUCUAGAAUGAUUGCUCUGUCAAACGGACUUUCCUGUCACCACACGGCGUGAACACCCUGCGACGAAAGAGAUGAUUGACGCCCAGUUAUUGAAAUUAAUUGUUAUUGCUGAAAUGUAAGAGCAGCAGCGAGACAGAGAACACAGAGUGAGAAAGAGGCCUUGCCCUGUCUGCCUUUGGAGGAAUGGAAGGGAAUCCCUGGGACAUAAUCAUCCUUAAAGGACGGACAAGGUGAAUCAGGAAGAGAGGGAACGGACCUGUCGACUGGCCCGGGGGGUUAAACGGUGUCGUUUUUAUGGUGCAGAAAUGGAAGACACACACACACACACACACCCACACACACACACACACACACACAUGCAGCAGUGUCUGCGGUCUUCACCACAUAAACCUCGAUGGCACCACCGACGAUGAUGGACGUUGAAGAUGCAAUUCUUGCUGUGAGGAGAUGGAGGACGCCAGAAGAAUCCUGACACACACACUCUCAGAGGCGCGUGGCAGGUGAGCAUUAAGACUGGAGCUAAACAGAUCACGUAGUGUAUAGUAUCUGCAGACAGGCAAAGCUUCGCUAGUCUGUACCUGCAGGCAAAAGUCAAAACCUCAAAGCAUACUUGGAAUUGUGUGUGUCUUUAUUAGAAAGAGCGAGAAAGAAAGAAAGAAAGAGGAAAGAAAG